GAAGAUAUGGCUCAAUGGUAGAGCACUUGCCUAACAUGUAAGAGGCUCUAGGUUCAAACUCUAAAACUAUUA
rnacentral:tRNA from 1 species